rnacentral:lncRNA from 1 species
UUUAAGUAGGGAAACGAUGAAUUUUAUUAAACCCGAUAAUAUGAAGAGAAUUACAAUGACACAGCAAUUUGGCUUAAACUAAACUGAAAGAAAAGCCACAUAUUUAUAGUACACAAGGUAAACCCUAAAACAUGGCUAAAAUAUGGAAAUUAAGAAAAACCACGUAAAAGAAAGAAAUCCAGCACUCAAAUAUUAUUUCCUUAAUUUUGGAUGCAAUUGAUUUCUUUCCUUUUUCACUUGGCUCUAAUGAUUCUUUCCUAAACCAAGACAACAUGCAAUCUUCCAAUCUUUGACCAAAUUUUGAGGCACCUAAUUAACAAUCUCCACCUCGACUCGAAAUUCCGGUGCAACAAAUAAAACUUCAAAUUUCAAAUUCGUCUACAUUGGAAUAGCCAAUCUCCUCAACACAGUAAUCAAACUCUCCAUCACCAAAACCAUCGUCCUCUGCACGGCGUCCACUAGCGACACCCGAACCCAAAUCCCGGGCUCCCAAAAUUCCACCGAGGAAUUAUUAUUGACCAAACAGAUCGAAGCACACACUGUAGCAGAAAUCAUACCAAAUGCACGAUCAGAAGGCCCCUUGCAAAUAUUAUCACCUUCAAUGAUCCCUACGGCAUCCCAGACAUCUCCAAAAACUAUACCUACACUCCAUGAGUCCAUUGGCACCAUAAGAACACACAUUGUAGCAGAAAUCAUACCAAAUGUACGAUCAGAAGGCCCCUUGCAAAUAUUAUCACCUUCAAUAAUCCCUACGGCAUCCCAGACAUCUCCAAAAACUGUACCUAUCCUCCAUGAGUCCAUUGACACCAUAAGAACACAGUGUACCUGCUAAAAUUGGUGGCAAAGCAGAAUCAUCAACACUUCCAUGAGUAAAGUUCUUAACUGGUCCAAAGCCAAACACGAGAGGUACUGUACCAAAUUGAAUGUCCACCACGGUACUGAACUUGUCCAAGUGUCUCUGAGCUGGUUCUGCGCUCCCUUGCAAGAUGUACAACUGGGAUUUCCUUCGUCCCUCCAAUAUAACCAGGACACGCUUUUGAACCUUCAAAACUCCACCUCCACCAGAGAAUUUACACCCUUUUGCAUCCAAGGCACUCAGCGAUAUGAGAUUCUUUGUCAAGUCUGAAACAUGGAGAACCUGAUCAAGUAUCCUCACUGUCCCAUCUUGUAGCAUCAAUCUGACCCGACCUAUUCCUACAACCCGACAAGAUUAGUUGUUUCCCAUGACAACUCCACCUUGCUUCACCGUUUCAUAUGUCUGAAACAAAACCCUAUUGGGAAACAUAUGAUAUGAACAUGCAGAAUCCAAAAUCCACUUCCCAGGUUUGGAUUCCCCAUCAAAUACAGCCAGUAUUACGUCUCUAUCAUCCGAAAAAUUGUUAAUAAUGUUAGUCUUGUUACCUGAUUGUCCCACAUGAUUUGCAUGUGAAUCACCUUUACCCUAUAACUUAUCGCAAUCUUUCUUAAUGUGUCAUUUCCUCUUGCAGUAAUAAUAAUACACAUUUCUAUAUCUCACCUUCGAUCUACCCCUCUGUCGAUCACCAUGAGUAACCAGAGCAUCCCCACCUCUAGAUGCAGGAUCUCCAACCAACAGCUCCAUCUUCUCCUUUGAGACUAGGGCAUCAUAUACCUCCUUAAUGGUCAGCAUUUCACGACUAUACAAUAAAGUAUCAGGAAACGACGAAAAAAACUGGGUAGUGAACACAACAGGAUUAAGGCUAGAUCCUCUUCAUCAUAUUUUACCUUCAACGUCUCCAAAUCUGCAACAAUCUUCUUGAACACAGCAAGAUGGUCCUACAAUGACCCUCCUUCCGCCAUGCGAUGGGAAUACGACUUCUGCUUUAGAGUCAGUUUGCUAUUCAGACUCUUUGCCAUACACAACUGUUCCAGUUUGAGCCACAAAGCAGCCACCAUUUUUUCUUCAAGACAUCCUGCAGAAUAUUGUUAGAUAAGUGAAAAUGAAUCUGUACCAGAGCCUUUCCAUCUCCCUAUUGUUUCUUCUCUAUAGACAAAUUUGCUGGCAUCUUCUCAAAACCUAGCAAAGUAUCGUCAAGAUCCAUCUGCGUCAACACAGCCUUCACCUUUAUUUGCCACAGUGAAAAUCUUGUAUUGCGAUCCGGCAGUGGAAUUUCAUACUUCAAUGAAUUCAUCCUUAAAAAAUCUCAACCAAAUCGAAGAACCUACAACCCGUGCUCUGAUACCACUUGUUGGGACCGAUGACCAAUAAUGUAGGAAUUGAGAUUUAAUGAGCACCACUUGAAGUAAUAAACAAGAUCACGAAAUAUCAAGAACAAGAUUUAAAGUAAGAAGAAAACGAGAAUUUAAGUAGAGGAAUGAUAAAUUUUAUUAAACCCAACAAUAUGGAGAGAAUUACAACGACACGACAAUUUGGCUUAAACUAAACAGAAAGAGGAGCCGCAUAUUUAUAGUACACGAGUCAAACCCUAAAACUAUGCUAAAACAUGGAAAUUAAGAAAAACCACAUAAAAGAAAGAAAUCCGGCACCCAAAUAUUAUUUCCUUAAUUUUGGAUGCAAUUGAUUUCUUUCCUUUUUCACUUGACUCUAAUGAUUCUUUCCUAAACCAAGACAACACGCAAUCUUCCAAUCUUUGACCAAAUUUUGAGGCACCUAAUUAAUAGAAAUCAUGCUCUGGAGUGUGUUUGCAAAAGUUCUAGGUAAGAAUAUGCAUAUGCUGUAACUUAACAGAGAAAUCGAAAAGAUUAUUUAAUCUUUAAGUGGGAUUUGUUGCAAAUGCAGUACGAAGUAUGGACAUUCCUGCACUAAAAUUGAAGCAUCAUCAUGCACUUCAACUAGUAAAAACCUUAUGUGCAAUUGUGAUGAAAAAUGAUUGUUCCAAACUUGGGAACCCACUUCUUUUAGGGGGCACUGACACGACCCGUCCCGAACACCUUAAUGGAUUCGACACGUGUCAUGCGCCGAUGGUAGAUACCAGGUAAACGUCGGACCCACCACCAAGGCAAUUUGACUUGCUUGACUGAAGAAUAUUUUUAACAAAAUUUUGACAAAGUUCCCCUUGAAAUAUGAACUAAAACCACUAAACAACAACUAAUUUUCCUCAAAUCAAUACCUAUAAUAUAAAUAGGAUACGUCAGUCCCUCAAAAUACAAACUAUUCAAAUAAAAUGUCGGCAAAUCAACAUUUCCUUUCUUUGCAACCAACAUUUCUCAAAUAUACUAAAGACACCAAAUAUGCAGUGAACUCAUGAUAACCUUUUCUGACAUAAACUACAUAUAACUCAAAGAAAUAUGUACUACAUAGUCUGGUAAAGUAGGUCAUACAACCUAUGAUGCGUGACUCAAUAUGGCGAAACAACAAGCUCCAAAACUGCCCAAUUCAGCUGCUAUCUGAUAAGGAAAAAGGUGAAAAGACAUAGGAGCUUAUAGCUCAAUGAGUGGAUAAUUUGCGAAUAAAUAUACUUUUUCCAUUUCUACAUAUUUUCUGAAAAUUCUAGCUUUAUUAAAUCUUUGAAAAAUUCUGAAAUCUGGUAACACUUUUAAAAACCAAAACAUGAUUGCAUCAUACAAUUCUUUAUUCUUAAUUCUAGAUAAGUAGAUGUAAAGUUAACGAAUAAUCUGAUAUUCAUGAAAAUCUAUGAAAUAUUGCUACUGGUCAAUACUAUAAGCUGAAAACUUUAUUUUGAAAACUGAAUUAACUGAAUUCCAUAAUCUGAAAUCUGAGAACUAAAUAAAUAUUGAAAAAUCACACCAUAAAAAGUACCCAAUGAAUAGCCUUACUCAUGUACAGAGUAAUCUCGACGUACAAGGCAAAGCCAUUCAAAUCUGAUAGCUGAUAAUCUGAUAAUCUGGUUAUACGUAUGCAGAGCUGCCACAAAGGAUAAUCACCCUAGUACACGGCCCAAAGCCUAUGUGUGUAUGAGAGUGGGUUCCAAAGACCUUUGAUAAUCUGGUCAUACACUAUGGAAAUACAUUCACGAUAGUGCAGAGCGGGUAAAAUCACUAUAACUAGUUAUACACUGUGGAAACACAUUCACAUUAGUGCAAACUGAGGUAAAAUCACCUAGGUACUUUCUGGUGAUUUUUAGAAAUAACUUUAACUAUACUGAAACAUGUAAUAAGAAUAUAACAUGCUACUAAAAUAAUUUAAUUGAACUGAAUUUAGCUUUAAAAGCAAUUGAUAAUAAAAUUCAUUUUAUUCUGAAAAUCAUGCUAUAAAGUCAACUUUAUAAAAUAAAUAACUUUAAAAUUUAAAGAAAACUUAUUUCUGAAAAAUAAGUUUUAUAUCCACUCACAAAGUUAUAGUCGAUCAUGGUUUCGAUAUUUUCGUUGCCUCAUCACUUUCAAAUUCCGAGUAUGAUAUCAUGCUCUCGCUAUAAUAAAUCAUAUUCCUUCACAAGCGUGCCUUGAGUAUUUUCCUACCAUUAGAAAUAAUAAUUUACCAAUGAAAACUUCACAUAUUUUAUUUUCAAUCUCAUAAUCCCAUUUAGAGUCAUGAACAACAUAUACUUCUUUAUAUAAAUUAUUUUAACACCAAAACGUCAAAUAUUUAACACUUAAUUUGGUUCUAAUACUAAAAAUCCACCAAAAUUAGAUGAUUAACAAAACUAGCACUAUAAUUCCAAAAUAUUGAAAACUGGCACCAAUUUCUGAUAUUGAAAUCUGUCACCAAAAACAUUGAGAGAAAUAACACCUUUCUGGGCAGAAUUUCAAACUAGCACCUGUUUUGCAAAAACUCGAAAAUUGCUAAAAAAAAAUGGAGAAUUUCAACCUCAAAUCCUUAAUUUAAGUUUUUAGCAUCACAUAAUUCCAAGAAUUUCAAAUAAUAUGCCUUUAUAUCACAAACCCAUUUCCAAAGUUUCCACUUUCUUCAACACUAAUUUCCAAACACAUUUUUUUUUGACAUAUACUUAUUUUAAUCAUCAAAUACAUAUCAAUAACACAUAAUUCUUGCUAGACUUUGAAUUAAAGCAAAUUUUCCAUAACCCUUAAAAAUUUAAUUCAAUAAAUUUAUACUUACCAUUCUAAACCAAAUGAGAAAUUGAAGAAUUUGAAAACCAUAGCUUGAAAAUUAUUCUUCUCCUCCUCCUCUUCUUCUUCUUCUUCUUCUUCUUCUUCUUCUUCCUCCUCCUCCUCCUCCUCCUCUCGGUCUCUCUCGAC